AUUGAACGCUGGCGGCAUGCCUUACACAUGCAAGUCGAACGGCAGCACGGGAGCAAUCCUGGUGGCGAGUGGCGAACGGGUGAGUAAUAUAUCGGAACGUGCCCAGUUGUGGGGGAUAGCCCGGCGAAAGCCGGAUUAAUACCGCAUACGACCUGAGGGUGAAAGCGGGGGAUCGCAAGACCUCGCGCAGUUGGAGCGGCCGAUAUCAGAUUAGCUUGUUGGUGAGGUAAAGGCUCACCAAGGCGACGAUCUGUAGCUGGUCUGAGAGGACGACCAGCCACACUGGGACUGAGACACGGCCCAGACUCCUACGGGUGGCUG
rnacentral:rRNA from 1 species